rnacentral:rRNA from 1 species
GGAGGUACUCGAGUGGCGAACGGGUGAGUAACACGUGGGUGAUCUGCCCUGCACUCUGGGAUAAGCCUGGGAAACUGGGUCUAAUACCGGAUAGGACCAUGCUUUAGUGUGUGUGGUGGAAAGUUUUUCGGUGUAGGAUGAGCCCGCGGCCCAUCAGCUUGUUGGUGGGGUAAUGGCCUACCAAGGCGGCGACGGGUAGCCGGACUGAGAGGUUGGUCGGCCACAUUGGGACUGAGAUACGGCCCAG